CGAGGAGCUUGCUCCUCUGACGUUAGCGGCGGACGGGUGAGUAACACGUGGAUAACCUACCUAUAAGACUGGGAUAACUUCGGGAAACCGGAGCUAAUACCGGAUAAUAUAUUGAACCGCGUGGUUCAAUAGUGAAAGACGGUUUUGCUGUCACUUAUAGAUGGAUCCGCGCCGCAUUAGCUAGUUGGUAAGGUAACGGCUUACCAAGGCAACGAUGCGUAGCCGACCUGAGAGGGUGAUCGGCCACACUGGAACUGAGACACGGUCCAGACUCCUACGGGAGGCAGCAGUAGGGAAUCUUCCGCAAUGGGCGAAAGCUUGACGGAGCAACGCCGCGUGAGUGAUGAAGGUCUUCGGAUCGUAAAACUCUGUUAUUAGGGAAGAACAAAUGUGUAAGUAACUAUGCACGUCUUGACGGUACCUAAUCAGAAAGCCACGGCUAACUACGUGCCAGCAGCCGCGGUAAUACGUAGGUGGCAAGCGUUAUCCGGAAUUAUUGGGCGUAAAGCGCGCGUAGGCGGUUUUUUAAGUCUAAUGUGAAAGCCCACGGCUCAACCGUGGAGGGUCAUUGGAAACUGGAAAACUUGAGUGCAGAAGAGGAAAGUGGAAUUCCAUGUGUAGCGGUGAAAUGCGCAGAGAUAUGGAGGAACACCAGUGGCGAAGGCGACUUUCUGGUCUGUAACUGACGCUGAUGUGCGAAAGCGUGGGGAUCAAACAGGAUUAG
rnacentral:rRNA from 1 species